rnacentral:rRNA from 1 species
UACGGAGGGUGCGAGCGUUAAUCGGAAUUACUGGGCGUAAAGCGCACGUAGGCGGUUCGUUAAGUCGGAUGUGAAAUCCCUGGGCUCAACCUGGGACCUGCAUUCGAUACUGGCGAGCUUGAGUACGAGAGAGGGGGGUGGAAUUCCAGGUGUAGCGGUGAAAUGCGUAGAUAUCUGGAGGAACAUCAGUGGCGAAGGCGGCCCCCUGGCUCGAUACUGACGCUGAGGUGCGAAAGCGUGGGGAGCAAACAGG